AUGCACGCUGGCGGCGUGCCUCAUACCUGCAAGUCGAGCGAACGGACGAGAAGCUUGCUUCUCUGAUGUUAGCGGCGGACGGGUGAGUAACACGUGGAUAACCUACCUAUAAGACUGGGAUAACUUCGGGAAACCGGAGCUAAUACCGGAUAAUAUUUUGAACCGCAUGGUUCAAAAGUGAAAGACGGUCUUGCUGUCACUUAUAGAUGGAUCCGCGCUGCAUUAGCUAGUUGGUAAGGUAACGGCUUACCAAGGCAACGAUGCAUAGCCGACCUGAGAGGGUGAUCGGCCACACUGGAACUGGGACACGGUCCAGACUCCUACGGGAGGCAGCAGUAGGGAAUCUUCCGCAAUGGGCGAAAGCCUGACGGAGCAACGCCGCGUGAGUGAUGAAGGUCUUCGGAUCGUAAAACUCUGUUAUUAGGGAAGAACAUAUGUGUAAGUAACUGUGCACAUCUUGACGGUACCUAAUCAGAAAGCCACGGCUAACUACGUG
rnacentral:rRNA from 1 species